AACGAACGCUGGCGGCAGGCUUAACACAUGCAAGUCGAACGCCCCGCAAGGGGAGUGGCAGACGGGUGAGUAACGCGUGGGAAUCUACCUAGUUCUACGGAACAACAGUUGGAAACGACUGCUAAUACCGUAUACGCCCUAAGGGGGAAAGAUUUAUCGGAAUUAGAUGAGCCCGCGUAAGAUUAGCUAGUUGGUGGGGUAAUGGCCUACCAAGGCGACGAUCUUUAGCUGGUCUGAGAGGAUGAUCAGCCACACUGGGACUGAGACACGGCCCAGACUCCUACGGGAGGCAGCAGUGGGGAAUAUUGGACAAUGGGCGCAAGCCUGAUCCAGCCAUGCCGCGUGAGUGAUGAAGGCCUUAGGGUUGUAAAGCUCUUUCACCGAUGAAGAUAAUGACGGUAGUCGGAGAAGAAGCCCCGGCUAACUUCGUGCCAGCCGCCGCGGUAACAC
rnacentral:rRNA from 1 species